UUUCCUGUGGCUCAGUUGGUAGAGCAUUGCGCUAACAACGCAAAGGUUGUGGGUUCAAAUCUGUUCAAAAA